rnacentral:lncRNA from 1 species
GGAGUACGGCCAGCAGAGCAGAGCUGGUCGACUACAUCCUAGAGUUGGGCUACAUGAAGGCGGAAGAGGCCUGAAGCAAAUUCCAGCAGAUAGUAUCAGCCCUCUAGUACCACCAACAGAAGGGGGAUAUCCAUAGGGACCUGAAGCCCAAGAAUUUCCUUGUGGUCCAUCACAACAUAAAAAUAACAGACUUUGGAUUUGAUACCAGGUUCACUGUAGGCCAGAAGCUGGGCACCUUCGGUGGGAGUCCCUCUUAUGCGGUCCUGAACUCUUCCAUGGCCAAACAUAUGAUGGGCCCCAGUGGACAUGUGGAGCUGGAAAGUCAUUCUUUACACCACAGUA